CGAUAACUGACCGAAGCUUCUACCAUAUUAAUUUUGCGUGAAAGGCACAUUUGAAUGUAUUCUUCUGCUUUCUUUACAACGCCAAAAUAUGUAAUGUUUUAUUAUAUAAAAACAAUAUUUUAACAGAGCAAGCUUGAGCACUUUUGUGGAACAGGAAACUCUAGUCCUUGCCUUCUUGGCUCUCUUCCACCCCAGUACAGGCGUUAGCCAUUUGCUUUCUACAGUCUGUAGCUACCAUUUCUAAGUAAGGCAUCCAGAAGCCCACGGGAGUAGGAAGAGAAGUGCAAUAUACAAUUUGCUCACCCAAAAACCAGCUCUCUAACUUGAAAUUGUAAAAUUACAGAACAAGAUAUACCAUGUUAUUGCUGCUUCCCUCUGAAAAUAUACAAGACAAAUGGCCUUUAGCGUCUUCUGUCGAUUUUCCUAUGGGUUUUACUUGAGCACAUCAAUAAAGCAGCAGGAGGACAAACGCCAAACAAAGAAUGAUGUCGUUGAUCAAUCUCACCUUAAACAACAAAAACUAUUCCUUUUUAAGACACAUCUACAGUGAUACAGC
rnacentral:misc_RNA from 1 species